rnacentral:tRNA from 1 species
GGCUGUGUAGCACAAGGAAGUGCAAUUGCUUCAUACGCAAUAGGUUGUAGGUUCAAGUCCUACCACAGCUA